AGACUGUCUCAGAGCUGGCUUCCUGCUUAUCUCUCCCUGUUCUGCUCCCCAGUUUCCACAAAAGCCACCUUCCCCUGCAGUCUCGUAGCCUCCUUUGUUU